AGUUUGAUCCUGGCUCAGAAUGAACGUUGGCGGCGUGGAUUAGGCAUGCAAGUCGGUCGUCCCGCAAGGGACGAGGCGCAAGGGUGAGUAAGGCGGAGGCAACCAACCCCACACAUGGGUAUAGCCGCGGGAAACUGCGGGUAAUCCCCAGCGACGUCGCCGGAGGACAUCCUCUGGCGACCAAAGGUGUGAGUCCGGUGUGGGACGGGCCUCCGUGGUAUCAGCUAGUUGGUGAGGUAACGGCUCACCAAGGCGAUGACGCCUACCGGGCGUGCGAGCGUGGCCCGGCACACUGGGACUGAGACACUGCCCAGACUCCUACGGGAGGCUGCAGUCGAGAAUCUUCGGCAAUGGGCGCAAGCCUGACCGAGCGACGCCGCGUGGAGGACGAAGGCCUUCGGGUUGUAAACUCCUGUCGAGGGGGAGGAAGAGGUGGUGAAGAACCAUCUUUGACCGAUCCCUGGAGGAAGCACGGGCUAAGUUCGUGCCAGCAGCCGCGGUAAGACGAACCGUGCGAACGUUAUUCGGAAUCACUGGGCUUAAAGCGCGUGUAGGCGGCCUGGAGCGUCAGCAGCUGAAAUCCCCCGGCUCAACCGGGGAACGGGCUCUGAAACGUCCAGGCUGGAGGGGGGUAGGGGGAGCCGGAACUCACGGUGGAGCGGUGAAAUUCGUAGAUAUUCGGAAGAACACCAGUGGCGAAGGCGACUCACUGGACAGGUAUUGACGCUGA
rnacentral:rRNA from 1 species